GACGUAGGGGGCAAGCGUUAUUCGGAAUUAUUGGGCGUAAAGCGCUCGUAGGCGGGACUGGAAGUCCGUGUUGAAAGACCUCGGCUCAACUGAGGGACCGGCUCGGAUACUCUAGUUCUUGAGGCAAUCAGAGGGUGAUGGAAUUCCCAGUGUAGCGGUGAAAUGCGUAGAUAUCGGGAGGAACACCAGUGGCGAAGGCGAUCACCUGGGGUUGUUCUGACGCUGAGGAGCGAAAGCUAGGGGAGCAAACGGG
rnacentral:rRNA from 1 species